rnacentral:rRNA from 1 species
AGAGACAGCAGUAGCCGCGGGAAUACGUAGGGUGCAAGCGUUAAUCGGAAUUACUGGGCGUAAAGCGUGCGCAGGCGGUUAUAUAAGACAGAUGUGAAAUCCCCGGGCUCAACCUGGGAACUGCAUUUGUGACUGCAAGGCUAGAGUACGGCAGAGGGGGAUGGAAUUCCGCGUGUAGCAGUGAAAUGCGUAGAUAUGCGGAGGAACACCGAUGGCGAAGGCAAUCCCCUGGGCCUGUACUGACGCUCAUGCACGAAAGCGUGGGGAGCAAACAGGAUUAGAUACCCCGGUAGUCCCUGUCUCUUAUAC